rnacentral:lncRNA from 1 species
AGUUGAGAGCUAAAUUUAUUUUUAAAAUAAAUCAGCUAUGGUUAAGGUUAUAUUCCCCACGUAGAUGAUAGAGACUCUAAUGGUAUAAAACUUCAAAAAUCAGUAGGUUAUCAUUUAACCAGUUAUUUUCAUAUUUUGCUUGACGGUACUUAUAUAGCCUAAAAGAAUUCUCAUACUUUACAAAGUAUAGUUUCUUUUCUCUAGGGUAUGAUCUAAAUGCGUAUUUUCUAUUUUCCAUUUAAAUUUUACUGUAUUAACCCUACGACUUAAUUUGUCAAUUCUUGGAAACUCCUUAAGGAGGAACAAAUGUUAAAAAUAACAUCCCCUCCUAAUACCUUUUUUUUAGAUCUGGAGGAAAAAAAAUCACAAAGACUUUUUAUGAUACGGUUUCAUUUUAGUUGUGAAUUAGUUGUGUCACAGCUAAGCUUUUUGGGAGAUAAACUGAAGCUCCUAUAAUUUCACUUAUUUUUCUAACUCACUCAAAAUCUUUCUACUUAUGUUACUCAGUAAAUGAUAAGCCAAGUUUCAUCCCAAAACUUCUAUAAUAAAUUGCCUAAUCUUUGAAAUAUGUUAUUUUAAAAUUUUACGCAGUGCUUAAACACCUUUAAAUUAUCAUAAACUCUUAAUUUAGAAUUGAGUAAAGAAAUAUUUUUUGUAGUCCUUCACAUAAGGAAAACUUGCCACGUGAAAAUUGUAGUCUUCAUUUUCCAGAAGAUACAUUGAUGUGCCAUAGGUUUCUGUCUGACUUCCUUGGAAGUAGUUUAUUAGUCAAUUGUAAAUAUUAUAUCUAUUCUAGUUAAAAGUAAUUUUGAGUUAAACUGCACCACAUAGCUCGAAAAUAGAGAUUUUGUAAUACUUUAAAGGUGGCCUCUGCUAAAAUAUCUUAUCCAUAUAAACUUAUUCUUGUAUUUUUUGCAUGCUCAUUUUGUGUGUUGGUUGCUAGCUUAAAGUUUGUUUUGAUGUUAGUUUUUGUGUGCCAAUUCAUUAGGCAAGGAGAUUUUUUCUCAGACUUCGUAGUAUUGUUCUUUUCAGAAAAAAAAUAAAAAUAUUUACUUAAAAAAGCUGCAUUCAAGGAACGGCCUAUCAAAAAUGCUAGGGGAUCUUUAGAAGGAAGAAAAGAUAGAAUACUAGCUUACUGGGUGAUGGAAGAUGUUUAAUUUGGGUGAUGAUGGUUUCUGUACUCUAAACUUUAUGAGAAAAAGGUACCAAAUGUAUCAAGGUAGUAAAUGUAAAACCUGCUGUCAUUGGGGAAGCUCUAAACCACCCUGAUUUCACAGAUGCAACUUGUAACACUAUGAAGGGACGUGACCAACAGCGUAAGUUUGGCUUGUGCUUUAGUUUUGUAAAGCAUAUUUUUUUGCUUGAAUUCCUGUGUCCAUGAGAGUUAGGAUGUUUUAUGCUUCUUGAACUACUUUUAUAACAUAUUUAAUAUAUUACCAGUUGAGAGAGAAAAUCAUUUGUACAUAAUUGAAUUAAAAACCAGUUACUAAAGUAGAUGAAAUAGACUGAGUACAAUGAUAUUUGCAGGUUAUCCAUAUAUUUUAGACGUCUUGAUGGAACAAUUUAUUUGCACAUCAAUGGCUUCUGUUUGAAGGAAAGUAAAGUGAUAAGGAAACUCCAGUAAUAGGAAACAUGCUCAAGGUAUUUCCCUAAAAUUAAUUGUAAAGCUGGUGCUGAAGGUUUUUGAUCAGCUUCUAAAAUUUUGUUCUCAAUGACUUAUGUUUUGAUUGCUUAGGGAAGAAUCCACAUUUUUGUUUGCUCUUAUGCAUUUAAUAUGCACGACAGGACAUUAAAAAUUAAUAUAAUGAAAAAUUGUGCUCAUACUGUACAUCUAUUUCUGUGCUUGGAACUACUUGUUAAUAGUUUUUAUUGAAGCUGUCAGCAAUAAGGGACACAUUACUGCUGUAUUACACAUUGUGGGGUUGAAUAAACAGCUUAAAUUUUUUUUCUUAGUAUAGGAUACUUCAGCAUUUCCAUUAUUGGAAGAAAUUUGUAUAGGUAUUCUAUAUUGCAUCUUGUUUAAAAGGACAGUCUUUUUUUGUAAAAUCUUUCCAUUUUAAAUGGCUUCUAAACUACGUAAUGCAAUUUGGAGCCUGUUUCUUUAGUAAUAGAAUUAAAUGUCUUAUAUAGUGCUACUGGUUUUAAAUUACAAAGCUAUCAAAUGUAAAAACUGAAAUUUAAAAUUAAGCCCAGAAAACAAAAUAGUGUAUUUAGUUGAAUGUAAAAGAAAUUUAUAAGAGAUUUCCUUCCAUAUAGAUACCUCACUUGAAAAUAAAGCACAGCGUACUUAAGGUAGUUCUAGCAAAAAAGUCCUACUAAAAGACUUGCUAAAUAUAGGACAACUUUUGGGAAAUUUAGUUUGGAAGAAAUAAAAUAGACUUGCUUUUAACCAUCCUGUUAGAAAUAUUUGUUUAUCCUGAUAAUUUUAAGCCAACACAGUAGUCCUAAAUUAUUUCUGAAUUUCUAAUCUCUGAAGGCAGUAGAUGAAGUAUCUAUUCUGCAACUCUUGAAAUUGUUGACUACAUUGACCAUAAUUCAAUUUAAAAUUUUGCCAAUGAUGUACAGUUUUAUGGUUAAAAUUGCUGUGGUUGGUUGCAUUACAUGACACACAGAACUGUCCUCUACCUCACGUGAAAUAAAUAUUUUAUAUGGUUUUACUAUAAAACAAGACUCAUCUAUUUGGUCACUUAGUUUACAAAUUUUGAAUUAUAUUUAUUGAAACAUGACAUACUGUGCUCUUAGCUUAUACCUCAAUUGUAUUUUGUGCUGUUUUCCAUUUUCAUGCCUUGUAAAUAACUUGUAUAGAUUGUGGAUUAAAUUCCAAAUAAAAACUUUUAAUGCCAAUGAAAUU